rnacentral:tRNA from 1 species
GCUGCCGUAGCGCAGAAGGCAGAGCAAGCGCCUUCUAAGCGCUUGGCCGCAGGUUCGAGUCCUGCCGGGGGCG